rnacentral:rRNA from 1 species
CCUACGGGUGGCAGCAGUGAGGAAUAUUGCGCAAUGGGCGAAAGACUGAUGCAGCGACGCCGCGUGAGUGAGGAAGUUUUAGAGUAUGUAAAACUCUUUUAGUCAGGGAAAAAAUGACGGUACCUGCCCACGAAGCCCCGGCUAACUACGUGCCAGCAGCCGCGGUAAUACGUCGGGGGCAAGCGUUAUCCGGAUUUAAUGGGCGUAAAGGGGACGUAGGCGGCAGGACAAGUCUGGAGUGAAAGGCGGGGGCUCAACCCCCGGACUGCCGUGGAAACUGGCAGGCUCGAGUGGAGGAGAGGUAAGCGGAAUGCGUGGUGUAGCGGUGAAAUGCGUAGAUAUCAGGAGGAACACCGGUGGCGAAGGCGGCUUACUGGAUCGUAACUGACGCUGAGGCACGAAAGCGUGGGUAGCAAACAGGAUUAGAUACCCGAGUAGUC